UUUUAAAAGAUUCAUCUAUUUUGUACAAUUAAAAACUAGCGUGUCUGAUGGAAUAACUAGAUAGCGACACAAGUUGUACUUCCUGUAUAUCAUGCUGACAUAGAAAGACCAAUUUUUAAUAGUAAAAAUAGAUGAAGUUUUUAACA
rfam:Gossypium raimondii scaffold_312_contig_1, whole genome shotgun sequence.